AGUGAACGCUGGCGGUAGGCCUAACACAUGCAAGUCGAACGGCAGCACAGUAAGAGCUUGCUCUUACGGGUGGCGAGUGGCGGACGGGUGAGGAAUACAUCGGAAUCUACUUUUUCGUGGGGGAUAACGUAGGGAAACUUACGCUAAUACCGCAUACGACCUACGGGUGAAAGCAGGGGAUCUUCGGACCUUGCGCGAUUGAAUGAGCCGAUGGCGGAUUAGCUAGUUGGCGGGGUAAAGGCCCACCAAGGCGACGAUCCGUAGCUGGUCUGAGAGGAUGAUCAGCCACACUGGAGCUGAGACACGGUCCAGACUCCGACGGGAGGCAGCAGUGGGGAAUAUUGGACAAAGGGCGGAAGCCUGAUCCAGCCAUACCGCGUGGGUGAAGAAGGCCUUCGUGUUGUAAAGCCCUUUUGUUGGGAAAGAAAAGCAGCAGGUUAAUACCCCGCUGUUCUGACGGUACCCAAAGAAUAAGCACCGGCUAACUUCGU
rnacentral:rRNA from 1 species